rnacentral:rRNA from 1 species
UACGGAGGGUGCGAGCGUUGUCCGGAAUCACUGGGCGUAAAGGGCGCGUAGGUGGCCCGUUAAGUGGCUGGUGAAAUCCCGCGGCUCAACUGCGGGGCUGCCGGUCAUACUGGCGAGCUAGAGCACGGUAGGGGCAGAUGGAAUUCCCGGUGUAGCGGUGGAAUGCGUAGAGAUCGGGAAGAAUACCAGUGGCGAAGGCGUUCUGCUGGGCCGUUGCUGACACUGAGGCGCGACAGCUAGGGGAGCAAACAGG